rnacentral:tRNA from 1 species
GCUGGCAUAGCACAGUGGUAGUGCGCCUGACUACGAAUCAGGAGGUCGUGGGUUCGAACCCCAUUGUCGGUU